rnacentral:lncRNA from 1 species
AUGAAAAGGACCUUUAUUUAAGGUAUAAGAACGGAGACAAGAAGGCGGAGCGUGGCCUUGUCGUCCUCGGCUGGGAAGAUGCAUGUUGGGCAACUCAACUUUUUCGCCACUCUGUGCAUGUCUAGAAAUGACCACAGAAGCACCUCGAGGAUUGAUGUGGGGAUUACAAAUAAAUCUUUAGCAAAAAAAAAAAAAGAGGAAGAUUGCCAACAGAUGUUAGCUCAGGGUCAAUCUUCUUCACAAACAAACAAAAAAACAAGAACAGGUUUCCUGACUGCAGGACUUUUCAGAGGUUUGACUUGAUGACUGUGCAUUGUUAAUUUCUAAGAAGAGAGUCUGAUAUGAAGCUUUUCCCAAAUGUUUUGAUUCCAGAACCUUUUCUGCCUGGAGCAUCUUGGGCUUUCUUGUGUUGCCCAGAACGCAUUUGCAGGAUUCCCUGACAUGACUGGGGAGUAUUCAGAAGUGGUAAGGGCCCAGGAGAGUCAUGGAGCAAACUGCCCAGGAAGACGGAGCCAUAGCAGGGUAGAGCCUGGAGCUAUAAAGAGGAGGGAGCUUCUUCCUCAGGAAGGUAGAGGGAAAGGUGAGGAAGGAAAUGAGCUUGAGCUGAGCCCACCAGUUGCAUGGAAGUAGGGAGAAAAAAGAAACUUCCCAGGUAGAAAAGGGGGGCUGGAAAGGAUACCCAUAUUGCAGAAUUCCUACAGAAACUUUAUGUUCAAAACUGGCUGCAUCUGGACCCUGCAUUUGCUGAGCAGAAAGAAAAGGAACAAAAAGUCCAUAGAUACUGGCCGUUGGACAUGACAGCGAUCGGGAAACAGGGUCCCCUAUCACAAUCUCUACCCCUAGAACUGGCCUCUUUCCCACAGACAGAGGAGUGAGAAGCGCUGAGCUCUGUCCCCUUCGUGUAUUUCUCAGACAAGUCACCUUCCCUCACCGCUGUUCGGUUCCCCCCACGUCAAAGGACUAGAAGAUGAUCAGCAUAGCAUGCCAAGCGGAUCCGCACCCGGGAUCCGAACCAGUGAACCCUGGGCCUCUGAAGCGGAACGUGC